GUAGCAAUUACAACCACCACCACCGGUGGCAUCACAACAGGGCCAACAAUCAAUCCAUUCUUUAUGCAAUCUCAAGCUCCUCAGUUAAUAGAACUCUCUCAACUCCAUAACCACCACCACCAACACCACCCCUCUCAACCAAAUGUUGUCUCCACCGGCCUAAAGUUAUCCUUUGGCGGCGACCAACAGCAACAGCAGCAACAAAUACAACAAAAUCACCAUUAUCAGAGCCAGCAACAUCAGAGUUUUGUAUCCCAAUCCUCUCCUUUCUUAUCCUUGUUAUCAGAAGAUUUUGCCACCGAAAUUAAACGCCAAAGAGACGAGAUAGACCAAUUCAUUCAAGCCCAGGGAGAGCAGUUGAGGCGCACAUUAGCCGAGAAGAAGCAGAGGCACUAUCGUGCUCUGCUGAGCACGGUGGAGGAAUCAAUAGCCAGACGACUGAAGGAGAAAGAAGCAGAAGUCGAAAAGGCCACUCGACGAAACGCCGAAUUAGAGGCACGUGCUGCCCAACUCAGUGUGGAGGCGCAGGUUUGGCAGGCGAAAGCCAGGGCACAAGAGGCUACGGCGGCAUCUCUACAGGCGCAACU
rnacentral:misc_RNA from 1 species